rnacentral:lncRNA from 1 species
CUCCCAAUUCUGCAGGCUGCCCAGAAGCAUGGCUGGGAAGGCCUUAGGAAACUUACAAUUAUGGCAGAAGGCGAAGGGGAAGCAGGCACAUAUUCACAUGGUGACAGGAAAGAAAGAGUGAAGGGGGAGGUGCUACAUACUUUAAACAACCAGAUCUCAUGAGAACUCAACUACCAUGAGAACAGCAAGGGGGAAAUUCACCUCCAUGAUCAAAUCACCUCUCACCAGGCCCCUCCUCCAACACUGAAGAUCACAAUUCAACAUGAGAUUUGGGUGGGGACACAGAGACAAACCAUAUCAUCUUCACACUCUCAACUUUCUGUCCUUUUUAUUCUUUUUAUGGGCUUCAGAAUCAACUAAUCAGUGUUCAGUCACUUCCUUUGAAAGGCUACUACAUCAUGGUGACUUGAUCCAAACAUCGAAGCACCCUGUGACCCGCCCCCAGCACAAGCUUCACCCUGGGACAGAGCCACCAGCCAUUCAUCCCCCAGAAGACCAGACACAGCAAAGCUGCAGCCACAGCUCACAGCUAUCCCAGGAUGGGGUUAGUUGCUUUGCAAUGGGACAGAGGGUCCUCUGAGAGUGCAGGCAGAACUGUGUUUGUCAAGGGGUUUGAAGAUACCUACGUGGAUCUGGAUACAAAUGCUACUGCUGGUGAGAACAGAGCUAUGGCAUGCCUACUUCACAGUCUCUGACUUAGCCCAAGUUCUAAGGGUUGACUCUAACAGUCUUGAAAACUACUUCAGGAUACAUUUUUUCCCUUGAAACAAUGCUGUAAAUGGUGGCCAGAAUCCCAAAUACAUAUCCAAUUGUCCAUAGCAUUGAGGAGGCAUCUUUGACAAGGUGAGAAUUUUACUUGAUCGUAAAAACAUCUGUGUUGGAGUCUCAACCAAGACUCUUUCUAACUACAUUACCUUGGAUAAGUCACUUCUCUGAAUCAAAAUGAGAGUCAUGUUAAUACUCAACAGGUCUACUUCAAUUCAAUGAACCAUAUGUCAGGAAUUACAGGAGGAGCUGCAGGUUCUAAGUUUGAAGAGUAUCUUUCCCCAGGCCUGGGAAUCCAGCAGCCCUAGCUGUCUGUUGCUGGGUACCCUCAAGCAAGUUUCUCCACCUUAAAAUUCAGUAACAAUGAGAGGCAGGAUCACCCAAGCAGGCUCUAGAGUCAGACAAUUUUGGAUAAAUUCCAACUGCACCAUUUACUAAGUAUCAACUUUGAGUACAUUAAGCUCCUUCAUUUUCUGUAAGGAAAGGUAUAUUAUAAUGGCAGUUUUAUAAGAUUGCUAUGAAUAUUGAGAAUAUGCAUGUAAAUUUCUUGGCAC